rnacentral:rRNA from 1 species
CAGUCGCCGCGGUAAUACGGAGGGGGCUAGCGUUGUUCGGAAUUACUGGGCGUAAAGCGCACGUAGGCGGCUUGGUAAGUUAGAGGUGAAAGCCCGGAGCUCAACUCCGGAAUUGCCUUUAAGACUGCCGAGCUAGUAGGUGAGUGAGGUAAGUGGAAUUCCGAGUGUUGAGGUGAAAUUCGUAGAUAUUCGGAAGAACACCAGUGGCGAAGGCGGCUUACUGGCUCAUUCUAGACGCUGAGGUGCGAAAGCGUGGGGAGCAAACAGGAUUAGAUACCCCUGUAGUCCCUGUCUCUUAUAC